rnacentral:rRNA from 1 species
UAGCUAGUUGGUGGGGUAAGGGCCUACCAAGGCGACGAUCGGUAGCUGGUCUGAGAGGAUGACCAGCCACACUGGAACUGAGACACGGUCCAGACUCCUACGGGAGGCAGCAGUGGGGAAUAUUGGACAAUGGGGGCAACCCUGAUCCAGCAAUGCCGCGUGUGUGAAGAAGGCCUGAGGGUUGUAAAGCACUUUCAGUGGGGAGGAGGGUUGAUAGGUUAAGAGCUGAUUAACUGGACGUUACCCACAGAAGAAGCACCGGCUAACUCCGUGCCAGCAGCCGCGGUAAUACGGAGGGUGCGAGCGUUAAUCGGAAUUACUGGGCGUAAAGGGUGCGUAGGUGGUUGAUUAAGUUAUCUGUGAAAUUCCUGGGCUUAACCUGGGACGGUCAGAUAAUACUGGUUGACUCGAGUAUGGGAGAGGGUAGUGGAGUUUCCGGUGUAGCGGUGAAAUGCGUAGAGAGCGGAAGGAACACCAGUGGCGAAGGCGGCUACCUGGCCUAAUACUGACACUGAGGCACGAAAGCGUGGGGAGCAAACAGGAUUAGAUACCCUGGUAGUCCACGCUGUAAACGAUGUCAACUAGCUGUUGGUUAUAUGAAAAUAAUUAGUGGCGC